GACAGAGGGUGCGAACGUUGUUCGGAAUUACUGGGCGUAAAGCGCAUGUAGGCGGCAGCGCAAGUCGGGUGUUAAACCCCCAGGCUCAACCUGGGGACGCCACUCGAUACUGCUGUGGCUAGAGUCCGGUAGGGGGAGCGUGGAAUUCCUGGUGUAGCGGUGAAAUGCGCAGAUAUCAGGAGGAACACCAGCGGCGAAGGCGACUACCUGGCCUGUUUCUUGACGCUGAGGCGCGAAAGCUAGGGGAGCAAACGGGG
rnacentral:rRNA from 1 species